rnacentral:rRNA from 1 species
AGAGUUUGAUCCUGGCUCAGGAUGAACGCUAGCUACAGGCUUAACACAUGCAAGUCGAGGGGCAGCAUCGCGAUAGCUUGCUAUUGCGGAUGGCGACCGGCGCACGGGUGAGUAACGCGUAUCCAACCUUCCCGCAACUGGGGAAUAACCUUGCGAAAGUAAGACUAAUACCCCAUGGUCUCCACGGAUGGCAUCUGAAAUGGAGUAAAGGUUUCGGCCGGUUGCGGAUGGGGAUGCGUCCGAUUAGCUUGACGGCGGGGUAACGGCCCACCGUGGCAUCGAUCGGUAGGGGUUCUGAGAGGAAGGUCCCCCACAUUGGAACUGAGACACGGUCCAAACUCCUACGGGAGGCAGCAGUGAGGAAUAUUGGUCAAUGGGCGGAAGCCUGAACCAGCCAAGUAGCGUGAAGGAUGACUGCCCUAUGGGUUGUAAACUUCUUUUAUGCGGGGAUAAAGUUCGCCACGUGUGGCGUUUUGCAGGUACCGCAUGAAUAAGGACCGGCUAAUUCCGUGCCAGCAGCCGCGGUAAUACGGAAGGUCCAGGCGUUAUCCGGAUUCAUUGGGUUUAAAGGGAGCGUAGGCCGCCUUUUAAGCGUGUUGUGAAAUGUAGGGGCUCAACCCCUGCACUGCAGCGCGAACUGGAGGGCUUGAGUACACACAAAGUAGGCGGAAUUCAUGGUGUAGCGGUGAAAUGCUUAGAUAUCAUGAAGAACCCCGAUUGCGAAGGCAGCUUACUGGAGUGUAACUGACGCUGAAGCUCGAAAGCGCGGGUAUCGAACAGGAUUAGAUACCCUGGUAGUCCGCGCGGUAAACGAUAAAUGCCCGCUGUU